CCCGACUGCUAUUUGGGUGAGGAUAAGCCAUGCGAGUUGGAUGGGAUACCUAAAUUUCCCAUAGCAAACUGCUUAGUAACACAUGAUCAACUUGCCCUAUGGAGAAAAAUAACCUCGGGAAAGUAUCAUAGCAAUUUUAGUAAUUGAAAACUGUGAUACCCCGAAACUGAGGAUAAUGUUUCAUAGUUGAAUAGGCUUGGAAAAGCUUUUCAAUGAAAGGGAUAAGAUAAAUGGAUCUUAUUUGCCAUAGGAUAGGAUCGUGGUCGAUUAUGGUAGUUGGUGAGAUAACGGCUCACCAAGCCGAUAAUCGAUAGGGGCCGUGAGAGCGGGAGCCCCAAGAUGGGUACUGAGACAGCGACCCAGGCCUUACGAGGCGCAGCAGGCGCGAGACCUCCGCAAUACACGAAAGUGUGACGGGGUUACCCAAAGUGUUCUCUUAAGAACUGUGGUAGGUGAGUAAUGUCCCUCUACUAGAAAGGAGAGGGCAAGGCUGACUGGAAUGAGGAAAUUACGAUCAUUUAUAAUCCCUCUUCUAGGCCUAAGUGCCAGCCGCCGCGGUAAAACCAGCUCUUCAAGUGGUCGGGAUAAUUAUUGGGCUUAAAGUGUCCGUAGCCGGUUUAGUAAGUUCCUGGUAAAAUCGGGUAGCUUAACUAUCUGCAUGCUAGGAAUACAUCUAUACUAGAGGGCGGGAGAGGUCUGAGGUACUACAGGGGUAGGGGUGAAAUCUUAUAAUCCUUGUAGGACCACCAGUGGCGAAGGCGUCAGACUGGAACGCGCCUGACGGUGAGGGACGAAAGCCAGGGGAGCGAACCGGAUUAGAUACCCGGGUAGUCCUGGCCGUAAACGAUGCAUACUAGGUGAUGGUACGGCCAUGAGCCGUAUCAGUGCCGUAGGGAAACCGUUAAGUGUGCCGCCUGGGAAGUACGGUCGCAAGGCUAAAACUUAAAGGAAUUGGCGGGGGAGCACCACAAGGGGUGAAGCCUGCGGUUC
rnacentral:rRNA from 1 species